rnacentral:rRNA from 1 species
GACGAACGCUGGCGGCGUGCUUAACACAUGCAAGUCGAGCGGUAAGGCCCUUUCGGGGGUACACGAGCGGCGAACGGGUGAGUAACACGUGGGUGACCUGCCCUCAGCUCUGGGAUAAGCCUGGGAAACCGGGUCUAAUACCGGAUAUGACUCCAUGACGCAUGUUGUGGGAUGGAAAGCCUUGUGCGGCUGGAGGAUGGGCCCGCGGCCUAUCAGCUUGUUGGUGGGGNAGUGGCCUACCAAGGCGACGACGGGUAGCCGGCCUGAGAGGGCGACCGGCCACAC